rnacentral:rRNA from 1 species
GACGAACGCUGGCGGCGUGCUUAACACAUGCAAGUCGAACGGACAUGCCCUUCUUUUGUUGGGUGCUCGUGUGGCGAACGUGUGAGUAACACGUGAGUAUCCUGCCCUUGACUUUGGGAUAACUUCAUGACACUUGCUCUUAUAUCGGAUAGUAGUUCCUGCUGCUUGGUUGGUUUUGGAAAGUUUCAGCGGUUGGGGAUGGACUCGCGGCUUAUCAGCUUGUUGGUGGGGUAGUGGCUUACCAAGGCUUUGACGGGUAGCCGGCCUGAGAGGGUGAACGGCCACAGAGGGAAUGAGGUACGGCCCAGAAUCAUAAGGGAGGCAGGAGGGGGGAAUAUUGAAAAAUGGGAGGAAGCCUGAUGCAGAAACGUCGCGUGAGGGAUGACGGCCUUCGGGGUGUAAAAAGCUUUCGCAUGUGAGGAAGAGUGAGUGACGGUAAUGGGUAAAGAAGCAACGGCUAAAUACGUG